rfam:Clostridium chromiireducens strain DSM 23318 CLCHR_contig000082, whole genome shotgun sequence.
AUCAAGAUUGGAAGCUAUGAAAAAUUCUUUAUAUUUGGGCACUUUAAGGAUUUAGAGCUAGUUGUGCAACCGACCAAUUUAAAC